GUGUGGGUCCCAUUCCACGGGGUCCGUGCCGCAGCUAACGCAUUAAGCGCCCCGCCUGGGGAGUACGGCCGCAAGGCUAAAACUCAAAGGAAUUGACGGGGGCCCGCACAAGCGGCGGAGCAUGCGGAUUAAUUCGAUGCAACGCGAAGAACCUUACCAAGGCUUGACAUGUACCGGAAACUCCCAGAGAUGGGGGCCCCGCAAGGUCGGUACACAGGUGGUGCAUGGUUGUCGUCAGCUCGUGUCGUGAGAUGUUGGGUUAAGUCCCGCAACGAGCGCAACCCUCGUUCUAUGUUGCCAGCACGUGAUGGUGGGGACUCAUAGGAGACUGCCGGGGUCAACUCGGAGGAAGGUGGGGAUGACGUCAAAUCAUCAUGCCCCUUACGUCUUGGGCUUCACGCAUGCUACAAUGGCCGGUACAGAGGGCUGCGAAACCGUGAGGUGGAGCGAAUCCCUUAAAGCUGGUCUCAGUUCGGAUUGGGGUCUGCAACUCGACCCCAUGAAGUCGGAGUCGCUAGUAAUCGCAGAUCAGCAACGCUGCGGUGAAUACGUUCCCGGGCCUUGUACACACCGCCCGUCAAGUCACGAAAGUCGGUAACACCCGAAGCCGGUGGCCCAACCCCUUGUGGGAGGGAGCCGUCGAAGGUGGGGC
rnacentral:rRNA from 1 species